UACGAAGGGGGCUAGCGUUGUUCGGAAUUACUGGGCGUAAAGCGCACGUAGGCGGAUAUUUAAGUCAGGGGUGAAAUCCCAGAGCUCAACUCUGGAACUGCCUUUGAUACUGGGUAUCUUGAGUAUGGAAGAGGUAAGUGGAAUUGCGAGUGUAGAGGUGAAAUUCGUAGAUAUUCGCAGGAACACCAGUGGCGAAGGCGGCUUACUGGUCCAUAACUGACGCUGAG
rnacentral:rRNA from 1 species